AUUGAACGCUGGCGGCAGGCCUAACACAUGCAAGUCGAACGGUAGCACAGAGAGCUUGCUCUCGGGUGACGAGUGGCGGACGGGUGAGUAAUGUCUGGGAAACUGCCCGAUGGAGGGGGAUAACUACUGGAAACGGUAGCUAAUACCGCAUAACGUCGCAAGACCAAAGUGGGGGAACUUCGGGCCUCACACCAUCGGAGGAGCCCAGAUGGGAUUAGCUAGUAGGUGGGGUAACGGCUCACCUAGGCGACGAUCCCUAGCUGGUCUGAGAGGAUGACCAGCCACACUGGAACUGAGACACGGUCCAGACUCCUACGGGAGGCAGCAGUGGGGAAUAUUGCACAAUGGGCGCAAGCCUGAUGCAGCCAUGCCGCGUGUAUGAAGAAGGCCUUCGGGUUGUAAAGCACUUUCAGCGAGGAGGAAGGCGUUGUGGUUAAUAACCGCAGCAAUUGACGUUACUCGCAGAAGAAGCACCGGCUAACUCCGUGCCAGCAGCCGCCGUAA
rnacentral:rRNA from 1 species